ACAGGUUGGUGCCCUUUUGCUUAUCCUUGAUUUUCUUGUUGUCUGCUCCAUAACACAGCUGAAAGAAAGAAAUAGAAGCAGGUGAAAGGAAUAAGUGGUUGAUUUUAACCACGUGCUUGAUAUUCUCUCCUUACCUUCUUGUUGCCCUCUUCCUCCAGAGCUAUAAAUCAGGUGUAGAAUAUUAGUACUCUUGCCAUUUUCUUGUGACUUUAGCCGAACUGCUGCAUGACCUGCUGUUUUGCUGAAAGCUUGGGUUUCUGGACUCAAAUGACUAGGUAUAAAUACAGGAGGGAAAUUCAUGCUUGACGAGAGUCGUGUGAUAUUAUUACUCCACUAUGGGAUAUACUCUGUGUUUCCAGAAGGGAGGUUCCUAUUUUGUCCAAUAUGCUUUUCCUUCACUUGAAUUGACCAGAGUCUAUCAAAGUAAUGAUCAAAUUCCCUCCUCAGUUAGCGCUGUCCUAUGCAGUGUACUUUAUCCUCAAUGGACAGAGAGAAAGGCAUGAAGUAUGGGGUACCUUCAGACAAAUCUAAAAAGAGCUGUGCAGCAGGAUCCUAAGGGGGAGAGGGACAGUAUUCACAGCAGGUCUCCAUUCAAGUUAAGAGAGUGUGCACUGGAUCUCCCACUCACCUGCAGCUUCCCAACCAGAGGAUAGG